GAACGGUAACAGGAUGUGCUUGCACAUCGCUGACGAGUGGCGGACGGGUGAGUAAUGCUUAGGGAUCUGCCUCUGUGUGGGGGAUAACUAUUGGAAACGAUAGCUAAUACCGCAUAAUGUUUACGGACCAAAGGGGGCGUUUGCUCCCGCGCAGAGAGGAACCUAAGUGAGAUUAGCUAGUUGGUAAGGUAAUGGCUUACCAAGGCGACGAUCUCUAGCUGUUCUGAGAGGAAGAUCAGCCACACUGGGACUGAGACACGGCCCAGACUCCUACGGGAGGCAGCAGUGGGGAAUAUUUGCACAAUGGGGGGAACCCUGAUGCAGCCAUGCCGCGUGUGUGAAGAAGGCCUUCGGGUUGUAAAGCACUUUCAGUUGUGAGGAAAGGUUAGUAGUUAAUACCUGCUAGCUGUGACGUUAGCAACAGAAGAAGCACCGGCUAACUCCGUGCCAGCAGCCGCGGUAAUACGGAGGGUGCGAGCGUUAAUCGGAAUUACUGGGCGUAAAGCGCACGCAGGCGGUUUGUUAAGCUAGAUGUGAAAGCCCCGAGCUCAACUUGGGAUGGUCAUUUACGAACUGGCAGACUAGAGUCUUGGAGAGGGGAGUGGAAAUUUCUAGUGUAGCGGUGAAAUGCGUAGAUU
rnacentral:rRNA from 1 species